GGGGACACUGCCCUCAUAGAGUGUGAGGCAAUAGCAGCGUGGUUGGUCCCCUGCCUGUUGUCUCAUCUUCUGGCAUCACGUACAUCUACCCAGAAGAAUUCGGGAAGGCCUCAUUGCCAGGUGAAUGUACCAGUACUGCCGUAGCUGAGGCUGGCUAGCAUCAUGGUGAGAGAGGAGUCAGUGGACCGACUGAUGAAAUCUCCAAAGUGAAGAGGCAGGUCAUAAGUAACACAGACCUCCUCCUAUGACAGCUGUGGGUAUGCCACAAAAGAAACAGACCAUGAUGCUGAUGAGAAGAGCGCCCUCGCCUCCUUCAACCUGGAGAGAGAGAAGAUGGAGGAUACGAUCCUAUGGGACUUCACAGAGAUGAUUCAUGAGAAUGUCAAGGACAGGAAGCAACUCAGAUAGAUGCCAGUC